GACGAACGCUGGCGGCGUGCCUAAUACAUGCAAGUUGAGCGCUGAAGGUUGGUACUUGUACCAACUGGAUGAGCAGCGCACGGGUGAGUAACGCGUGGGGAAUCUGCCUUUGAGCGGGGGACAACAUUUGGAAACGAAUGCUAAUACCGCAUAAAAACUUUAAACACAAGUUUUAAGUUUGAAAGAUGCAAUUGCAUCACUCAAAGAUGAUCCCGCGUUGUAUUAGCUAGUUGGUGAGGUAAAGGCUCACCAAGGCGAUGAUACAUAGCCGACCUGAGAGGGUGAUCGGCCACAUUGGGACUGAGACACGGCCCAAACUCCUACGGGAGGCAGCAGUAGGGAAUCGUCGGCAAGGGACGAAAGUCUGACCGAGCAACGCCGCGGGAGGGAAGAAGGUUGUCGGAUCGUAAAACUCGGUUGGUAGAGAAGAACGUUGGUGAGAGUGGAAAGCUCAUCAAGUGACGGUAACUACCCAGAAAGGGACGGCUAACUACGUG
rnacentral:rRNA from 1 species